GAUGAACGCUGGCGGCGUGCCUAAUACAUGCAAGUCGAGCGAACAGACGAGGAGCUUGCUCCGCUGACGUUAGCGGCGGACGGGUGAGUAACACGUGGAUAACCUACCUAUAAGACUGGGAUAACUUCGGGAAACCGGAGCUAAUACCGGAUAAUCUAUUGAACCGCAGGGUGCAAUAGUGAAAGACGGUUGUGCUGUCACUUAUAGAUGGAUCCGCGCCGCAUUAGCUAGUUGGUAAGGUAACGGCUUACCAAGGCAACGAUGCGUUGCCGACCUGAGGGGCGGGUCGGCCGCCUGGGAGCGUGACCGGCCACAAGGCGACUAAGGGAGGCAGCAGUCGGGAAUCUGACGCAACGGGCGAAAGCCUGGCGGAGUAACCGCGCGCGAGUGAUGACGGCCCCCGGAUCGUAAAACCCUGCUAUUAGGGAAGAACCAAUGUCUCCGUAACUAUGCCCGUAUUGACGGUACCUAGUCAGAAAGCACCGGCUAACUACGUG
rnacentral:rRNA from 1 species